UAUUCCGGAAAACCGUAUUUAGAAGCAUGAUUGACGACCAAAGAAAAAUGAGAAAGUAACAUUUUAAUGUGGAGCUUGGUAAUCGCCUAGAAUGAAUGGCGAUAUACAGUUUACUGCACCCUCCAAUGCGCAAAAGAGGCAGGAUGGCAAAAUUCAUGACUAUCUUAAGCAAGCAAGGAGACGGCUAAAAAGCCACCCCGGCUUUUCCUCCUCCACCAGCUGAGGCACCCGGUCUCCCGGUUUCCACACGCGUUCAGAGACACAAACUCACCCGCCGCUGAGGAAACGGUACUGCCUUCGCGACCUUCUGGGAUCCAGGUUACGAGUGCGCUCCACUGGUUCGAGAUUUCUGCCCGUCGCUCGCCAGGGAGACUGAGUGCCCAAGCGCCUACUCGCACAGGCCGCAAAUACAGCCGCGCUGCGCGGGGAGCUGCUGGAGGUCUUCCUCUUGCCCGGCGUGCACUGCGGCCGGGGGCGGGGAGCGCGGAACCAUAGAGAAGAACGUAUAUAGAUCGUCUCCGCUGUUGGCUCUGACUCACCAAGCCGAGACGAAUAACCAUAGAGAAGCAGCGUCUAGCGGUUACUAGAAAGGCCCGAGCUGUAAAUUAUGACCCACCAUGUUUGAUUGGAGCCGACUGAAUCUUACGACUACGGGACGCCAUCUUGAGGUCAAGGUUCCGGCUGGGCACGGCGCGAGGAGUGUUAGAGGAUUUCUCACUUUUCGUAGUUUUUCGGGGGGUAGAACCUUGCUUUGUGAUUCCUUGAGGUUCGAGGAACUGAUAACUGGGCGCGAUCCGCAACCUUAGUGUUAAACCCCAAGUACUGUUAUAACAACUACUCGAGAUCAACAAAUAAUUGGCAAAGGCUGUGGAGGUUUUUUGAAAAGCAAAAGCUUAUGCGUAGUUGUAGGGCCAAAGAGGUGGCUAGAAGAUGUUUGGAAAAACGUGAAAAGUCCUGUAAUACUAGUUAACACAGCUUUCGUUCUGUAAUCUAAACGUGCUAAAAGAACUUAGCUUAAGUUAAUGGAAAUGAAUAAAAUUAAUCAUAAAUGAUUACGUUAUUCAAAUUGUGGACCUUAUAGGCAAUAUCUAGUUAUACGCCUUUCUCAACUGCUUGCCUCUAGGAAGGCAUAAAACGUAUUCAGUAUAAAGUUAUUGCCUCCCUGAGUUCCUGGUGCUGUGUUAAGUGCUGGAAGUAUGAAGGCAAAUGGAAGUGAGAUUUGUUCCUGUCCUGCAAGAACGUGAGCCAGGUGAAAUAGAUGACAAACCAUGACCAGCCUAAUAUAAAAUUGAAACAUACUACACACUUCCUGCCUGCCUCCCCUACUUAAUUUUACUCUAAAGCACUCAUAACCAUCUAUCAUAACAUACAUUUUUCUUGCUGAUUUUAUGGUCCGUCACUACCCCCACUAGAAUGUGAAUGUAAGCAAUGCAUGGAUUGCCUGUUUUGUGCAAGAACAGGUCCUGGUACAUAGCAAGCGCUCAAUAAAUAUUUGUUGAGUGACAGAAAUGAUUACCGGCCGGGCGCGGUGGCUCACGCCUGUAACCCCAGCACUUUGGGAGGCCGAGGCGGGUGGAUCACCUGAGGUUAGGAUUUCGAGGCCACCCUGGCCAACAUGGCAAAACCCCGUCUCUACUGAAAAUACAAAAAUAAACCAGGCGUGGUGGCAGGCGCCUGUAAUCCCAGCUACUCGGGAGGCUGAGGCAGGAGAAUCGCUUGAACCCUGGAGGCGGAGGUUGCAGUGAGCCGAGAUGGCACCACUGCACUCCAGCCUGGGCAACAAAGCGAGACAUUGUCUCAAAAAAAAAAAAAAAAAAAAAAAAAAAAAACAGAAAAGAAAUGAUUAACAUAUGAUGAGUACCAAUAGAACACAAAAUUUAGUGGGAGCACAAAUGAGAAAGUAGCAGUAAUUACUACCAUCUGCAAAAUUUACAUCCUUCUAUACUUCUGCUUGCUAGGUUUCCUUACCAUUAACUAAAGUUAAUAAUACCUUUGGCUGUGCGUGAUGACGAGUGCUUGUAGUCCCAGUUACUUGGGAGACGAAAUUAACUUAUGUAUGUUUGUACUUUGUUCAGUAAAGUGCUAUUCAAAUUUAUAGUUUU